UAAUACGGAGGGUGCAAGCGUUAUCCGGAUUUACUGGGUUUAAAGGGUGCGUAGGUGGGUCUGUAAGUCAGUGGUGAAAUCUUCGAGCUUAACUCGGAAACUGCCAUUGAUACUAUAGGUCUUGAAUUAUCUGGAGGUAAGCGGAAUAUGUCAUGUAGCGGUGAAAUGCUUAGAUAUGACAUAGAACACCAAUUGCGAAGGCAGCUUACUACGGAUUGAUUGACACUGAGGCACGAAAGCGUGGGGAUCAAACAGGAUUAGAUACCCUGGUAGUCCACGCCCUAAACGAUGGAUACUCGACAUACGCGAUACACUGUGUGUGUCUGAGCGAAAGCAUUAAGUAUCCCACCUGGGAAGUACGAUCGCAAGAUUG
rnacentral:rRNA from 1 species